rnacentral:rRNA from 1 species
GACGAACGCUGGCGGCGUGCUUAACACAUGCAAGUCGAACGGAAAGGCCCUGCUUUUGUGGGGUGCUCGAGUGGCGAACGGGUGAGUAACACGUGAGUAACCUGCCCUUGACUUUGGGAUAACUUCAGGAAACUGGGGCUAAUACCGGAUAGGAGCUCCUGCUGCAUGGUGGGGGUUGGAAAGUUUCGGCGGUUGGGGAUGGACUCGCGGCUUAUCAGCUUGUUGGUGGGGUAGUGGCUUACCAAGGCUUUGACGGGUAGCCGGCCUGAGAGGGUGACCGGCCACAUUGGGACUGAGAUACGGCCCAGACUCCUACGGGAGGCAGCAGUGGGGAAUAUUGCACAAUGGGCGGAAGCCUGAUGCAGCAACGCCGCGUGCGGGAUGACGGCCUUCGGGUUGUAAACCGCUUUCGCCUGUGACGAAGCGUGAGUGACGGUAAUGGGUAAAGAAGCACCGGCUAACUACGUGCCAGCAGCCGCGGUGAUACGUAGGGUGCGAGCGUUGUCCGGAUUUAUUGGGCGUAAAGGGCUCGUAGGUGGUUGAUCGCGUCGGAAGUGUAAUCUUGGGGCUUAACCCUGAGCGUGCUUUCGAUACGGGUUGACUUGAGGAAGGUAGGGGAGAAUGGAAUUCCUGGUGGAGCGGUGGAAUGCGCAGAUAUCAGGAGGAACACCAGUGGCGAAGGCGGUUCUCUGGGCCUUUCCUGACGCUGAGGAGCGAAAGCGUGGGGAGCGAACAGGCUUAGAUACCCUGGUAGUCCACGCUGUAAACGGUGGGUACUAGGUGUGGGGUCCAUUCCACGGGUUCCGUGCCGUAGCUAACGCUUUAAGUACCCCGCCUGGGGAGUACGGCCGCAAGGCUAAAACUCAAAGGAAUUGACGGGGCCCCGCACAAGCGGCGGAGCAUGCGGAUUAAUUCGAUGCAACGCGUAGAACCUUACCUGGGUUUGACAUGGAUCGGAAGUGCUCAGAGAUGGGUGUGCCUCUUUUGGGGUCGGUUCACAGGUGGUGCAUGGCUGUCGUCAGCUCGUGUCGUGAGAUGUUGGGUUAAGUCCCGCAACGAGCGCAACCCUUGUUCACUGUUGCCAGCACGUUAUGGUGGGGACUCAGUGGAGACCGCCGGGGUCAACUCGGAGGAAGGUGGGGAUGACGUCAAGUCAUCAUGCCCCUUAUGUCCAGGGCUUCACGCAUGCUACAAUGGCUGGUACAGAGAGUGGCGAGCCUGUGAGGGUGAGCGAAUCUCGGAAAGCCGGUCUCAGUUCGGAUUGGGGUCUGCAACUCGACCUCAUGAAGUCGGAGUCGCUAGUAAUCGCAGAUCAGCAACGCUGCGGUGAAUACGUUCCCGGG